GUAAGCACAACCAGAUUGCUUAGUGUGCUCUGGGAUUUAUAUCAAAGGUUUCAUCAGUUUCGAUUAGAUUUAUUCUGAGAAAAACAAGACUUUACAAUUUUAAUUUAUCUGAGUAAAAGUGAAUAUUCGUAAUACGUAUAGAAAAAUAAUGGCUGAAGGAAUUUAUCUCACAGUUCUUCGUUUGCGACAAAUUUCAAUAUUUUUGCUAUUAUUUUUUUUCUAUAAAUGUUAUGUGGUUUUUACCAAAGAAUUAAAGAGGGUCGUAAUUUCAUCAAAAGCAUUGAUCUAAAUACUAAGAAUUUACUCAUUCGACAUGGAAGAGGCGGCAAAAAACCGGAGUCAGCAUGAAAAUGUUAUAAUCGAAAUGUCAUUAUGCUACUUUAAAAAAUAUAUUGUAAUAAAAUGUAGCAAAAUAUA